GAUGAAGAACGUAGCAAAAUGCGAUAAGUAAUGUGAAUUGCAGAAUUCAGUGAAUCAUCGAAUCUUUGAACGCACAUUGCGCCCGCUGGUAUUCUGGCGAGCAUGCCUGUUCGAGCGUCAUUUCAACCAUCAAGCCCCAGGCUUGUGUUGGAGCCCUGCGGCUGCCGCAGCCUCCCAAAACCAGUGGCGGGCUCGCUAUCACACCGAGUGCAGUAGUUUACUCUUCGCUCAGGGCGUGUGGCGGGUGCUAGCCGUGAAACCCCCAACUUCUCAAGGUUGACCUCGGAUCAGGUAGGAAUACCCGCUGAACUUAAGCAUAUCAAUAAGCGGAGGA
rnacentral:misc_RNA from 1 species